ncrna:unclassified sequences Mu-gpT-DE RNA
CCCUGACAGCCGCAUGAGGCGGCUGACUCUAGCCACGACAGGAGAUCUCAAUG